UACGGAGGGGGCUAGCGUUGUUCGGAAUUACUGGGCGUAAAGCGCACGUAGGCGGCUUUGUAAGUUAGAGGUGAAAGCCCAGGGCUUAACCCUGGAAUUGCCUUUAAGACUGCAUCGCUAGAAUCGUGGAGAGGUGAGUGGAAUUCCCAGUGUAGAGGUGAAAUUCGUAGAUAUUGGGAAGAACACCAGUGGCGAAGGCGGCUCACUGGCCCGUAACUGACGCUGAGGUGCGAAAGCGUGGGGAGCAAACAGG
rnacentral:rRNA from 1 species